rnacentral:misc_RNA from 1 species
GAUGAAGAACGCAGCGAAAUGCGAUAAGUAAUGUGAAUUGCAGAAUUCAGUGAAUCAUCGAAUCUUUGAACGCACAUCGCGCCCGCCAGUAUUCUGGCGGGCAUGCCUGUUCGAGCGUCAUUUCAACCCUCAGGCCCCCAGUGCCUGGCGUUGGGGAUCGGCGCGGCGCCCUCCGGGGCGCUGCCGGCCCCGAAAUUCAGUGGCGGUCUCGCUGUAGCCCUCCUCCGCGUAGUAGCACAACCUCGCGGCCUGGAGCUCGGCGGUGGCCAUGCCGUAAAACACCCCACUUCUGAAAGUUGACCUCGGAUCAGGUAGGAAUACCCGCUGAACUUAAGCGUAUCAAUAAGCGGAGGA